rnacentral:rRNA from 1 species
AGUGAGCGCUGGCGGUAGGCCUAACACAUGCAAGUCGAACGGCAGCACAGUAAGAGCUUGCUCUUACGGGUGGCGAGUGGCGGACGGGUUAGGAAUACAUCGGAAUCUACUUUUUCGUGGGGGCUAACGUAGGGAAACUUACGCUACUACCGCACUCGACCUACGGGUGAAAGCAGGUGAUCUUCGGACCUUGCGCUAUUGAAUGAGCCGAUGUCGGAUUAGCUAGUUGGCGGGGUAAAGGCCCACCAAGGCGACGAUCCGUAGCUGGUCUGAGAGGAUGAUCAGCCACACUGGAACUGAGACACGGUCCAGACUCCUACGGGAGGCAGCAGUGGGGAAUAUUGGACAAUGGGCGCAAGCCUGAUCCAGCCAUACCGCGUGGGUGAAGAAGGCCUUCGGGUUGUAAAGCCCUUUUGUUGGGAAAGAAAAGCAGCAGGUUAAUACCCCGCUGUUCUGACGGUACCCAAAGAAUAAGCACCGGCUAACUUCGUG